rnacentral:lncRNA from 1 species
AAAAGAGAGACGAAGGGAGCCCUGCGGGAGAGGGUGUUACUUUGUCGCCCAGGCUGGCCUGGAUCCCUAGGCUCAGCAAUCCUCCCGCCGCUGCUUUUGAGUAGCUGGGACCUCAGGCUUCCGCCCCGAGCCCGCAUCUUUGCUGUGUUUAUCCAGCAGGUCCUCCCUCGCUGACCUGAGCACUCCGUCCUGCAUCCCAGGCGAUGGUCCUAGGGAAGUCUCUGAAGCUGAGCACAGGGUGGACUCUCCCUCCCGAGUGAAUGGAGAAAAGAAAGGGAGAGGAUUUCUGUUCUGUUUUGUGGGCGGUCAGCAUGAAAUCCUACCUUCCGCCAAGGCCGGGCCUUGCAUUUUACAUUCUAGUUUGCAUCCCCGUUCCAGACAAUUCCAGGGGUUUUGAAUCAUGCCUCAGCCUUCCUGGCCGGUCUCGCCUCCAAAACUCGAAAACAGAGGUGCUGGGAACAAGCCUGAGAGAAGCACAGGUCCCGCCCCGGCCCGCCCUCUGCGGGUUCUAAAGGGCAAGGUCUCUCCGCCUCGCGCCCCGCCCCUACCUCGCCCAGGCCCCGCCCACCUCCUCGCGGGUCCCGCCCAGGCCUGGCUUCUGUCCUGCGCGCGCAGAUUCGCGCAGACCAGGAAGCGGAUCGCGUGGAGUGACGGUCCCACCGCGGCGCGACUGACUUCCAAACACUCUUGGUAUGUGAGGAAGAAACCCAGAAGAGGAAGAGGAAAGCAGAGGAGUCAGGGAUGGCUCCUCCUCAGGGUCUAUUGACAUUCAGGGAUGUGGCCAUAGAAUUCUCUCAGGAGGAGUGGAAAUGCCUGGACCCUGCUCAGAGGACUCUGUACAGGGACGUGAUGGUGGAGAAUUAUAGGAACCUGGUCUCCCUGGGUGAGGAUAACUUCCCUCCAGAAGUGGGGAUGUGCCCUUACGUAUCUUUGUAUUUUCUCUUUUUUUUAGAUACUAGGUCUUGCUCUGUCCCCCAGGGUAGAGUGCAAUGGUGGGAUCAGGGCUCACUGCAAUCUUGAAUUCCUGAGCUCAGGUGAUUGUCCCACCUCAGCCUCUACCAGUAGCUGGUACAGGUGCAUGCCGCCAUGUUGGGCAAAUUUUUAGUUGUUUUUUUUCCAGACGGGGUCUUGUUGUGUUGUUGAAAUUCGCCUUGAUCUCCUGGGCUCAAGAAAUCCUCCUCAGUCUCCCGAGUAGCUGGGAUUACAGGCGCCAAUCCCCAUACCUCAUUAUUGGCUUUUAUUUUUAAGAUUUUUGCAUCUGUGUGGCCGGGCAUGGUGGCUCACGCCUGUAAUCCCAGCACUUUGGGAGGCCGAGGUGGGCGGAUCACGAGGUCAGGAGAUCGAGACCAGCUUGGCCAACACGGUGAAACCUGGUCUCUACUAAAAAUACAAAAAUUAGCUGGAUGUGGUGGCACUGGCCUGUAAUCCCAGCUACUUAGGAGGCUGAGGCAGGAGAAUUGCAUGAACCUGGGAAUCAG